rnacentral:misc_RNA from 1 species
AAAAACAUAUUAAACUUAAAUACUCGUAUCGAAAAUGGCCUCCAAUAUCAUCAUCACCUAGCUGACGAACUCUGUUAGCUGGUAAAACUCGUAGCAUCUGUCAUUUAUUGACCGUAAAAUAUGCACCAUGCUUUAAAUAGGAAUAAAGAACAUAACCGGUAUACUUUGUAGCUAGGUAACCUGUGGUGGAUUGGAUUAGCUCCCCAAUUUCUGCCCGAUAAAACACACAGAAUCAGAUUGGGAUGGGUGGU